AUCCUCAAAAGAUAUCUAGUCAGGAAAGCUAAUUUACAUUUUUUUCUUGGAGUCGAUAUCUUACAUCACCUCAUUGUAGGUUUUGGGAUCAUCUCUAUAUUCUCCAUCUCCCAUGAGAAAUGAUUUUCUCUGCAUUCUCUGUUAAGCAUACUCAAGUACCUUUCGAGAGGAUUGAAGAUCCUACUAUGUGUACGAGGUGGAGGAGGA
rnacentral:lncRNA from 1 species